AGUUCCCUGGAAUGUUCGCCAGUCGAUAUUUCCUCGACCCUUUAUGCGACACCCAGGGGUCUCUUGUCGGGGUUGUUGAGCAAGUCCGUUGAUCGGAAAGCCUGAUGCCCCGCAGAGAUCACCGCCUUGAACCGCUGGGUUCAAGGAUUUAUACGGCAGCGGCACUCUGGGGAACUG
rnacentral:other from 1 species